ACAAACUAAGGGCCACUCACAUGGUAACCACUUCAUUCCAGGCUGUCUUGCCUUUUGGAUCAGUCAUUCUUCUUCCAGCUUGUGAAGAAAACAGCAAAUCACCCAGUUCGUGGCUGAUCUACUAUACACAAAACUACAUACUAGAUAUAUUUAUCUCGUCAAAUUUAAACAUGUAUUGAUUGGGAGGGAGCAAAUGGGAGGGCUGGAGAUGAUGAGGUGAUAAAAAGCGUCAUAAAAGCAUGCGUCUGACCAUAUCCUCCAGUCUUUGCAGUAGAAAGGAAAGUCAUCACCGACAGCUUCACAGUAACUCUAUGUGGAGCACAGGAUAACACCACAACUGCAAACCCAGCACCAAGCGUUCCUCCUGACGUCAGUACCACUGAGCUCCCCGGUACCCUGCCAACAGGAUCACAACCCGUACCCGUCACAAACACAACUGACGCCACUGGCAGCACCAACGGGACCACCGCGGACCCAAAUACGCCGACACACGAGGCCAACACCACCUCGCCCGCCCCCACCGCGGAGGCGUCUGGGGGAGGUGGGCUGUCGUCGGGGGCUAUAGCUGGAAUCACCAUCGGCUCCAUCGCCGGGGUCGCUGCAGUGGGUGGAGGCAUCUUUGGAGCACUCAAGUACACGGGGAGGAUCUGAGACUGGUCCUCACCUAAAAGGAGUAAAGGACUAGAAACUAAAAGUCCACUUUUGUCUGAAAGGCCCAACUGAGAUUUAAACGUUAUGAACACAAUGUACAAGCUAAUGUCAGGGGCCAGGAGGAAGACAACACAGUGGAUUGGACUUUAUUCACCCAUGGGAUUAUGAUCUAUUACUGUAUGAAAUUUUGGUUUAUUAAGAACAGAACUAAAAUGGAAAGAUUUCCAUGAUUUUAAUUGUAAAGUGUAUCAAUGUCUAAUGUGUCUUCUGUUUGAUACUGUUCUGUCCAGUAACUUGGAUUGAUAUUAAAACUAAUUAACCAGA